ensembl:lncRNA
GGACCACCCCAUCCGCCUCUGGCCCAGGACCAUGCUGAGGACCACGGCUCGCAUCCUGCAGGUGUGGGGCGUGGAGAGCAAGUCCGGGACCCUGAUGGCCAGUUACGUGCCCACCAAGAGAGAUGGCCACACUGAGAACCACAGGGGCUGAAGAAACAUCUGCUUCAGUUCCUGACUGGAGAGAGGCGAGCUGUUAUCUCGUGGGCAAGGGCUUCCUUUCUCUGUUGGAGAGGAGUUUACGAGGAGAGAGGGGCGGAGGUCUCAAGGAAAUCAUGUGUGACACACAAACCCGAAAUGACGGCUCCCCAAGCAGUUCAGAGGGACCUGGGAGAAGCCUGGGUCCCUGUGUCCUCAGAAGCCGCAGUCCCUCCCCAGCCAACCCAAUGUAUAGGCAGAAGCUGGACCUGGCCGGAUCCAAAGUGCACCAUGGAUCUUCAACGAUGAUUUCCAAUAUCCUCAAUAUCUUCUCUGAAGGCCUUUUCUCCUUUUUUUUUUUCCCCUCCCUGGGUGAUCUUGCAAGUUGAUCAUUUAGAACCCAGGUGCAACCUUUCUCCUGAGCUUCCACCUCCAACCAUUUGUUUCUCUACCACCUGUCUAGCCGGCAGCCCAAGCCAUCUGCAGUGGCAGAUGGAAGAGCUGUUCCCAAAUGUUCACUUCCUCUGAGUCAUAAAAUUAUGGUUCCCCAUCACUGCCUUGUGUCCUGGCCCCAACAUCUCCAUGAGAGAAGCAUGGACCCUGCCUUGUUGACUUUCAACUUGGCUGCAUGACCAGCUCUGCUUAAUGAGACGAGACUGGACGUGACCUUGGCCGUCUGAGCAGUCCUGACUCACUGACCCUCUCAAGGCCUUUGUUCCCUUCCUCUUCCUGAAAUGUGCUUCCUCCAGAUGUUUGCACGGCCUGCUUCUCCAACUCCUUUGGGUCUUUACUGGACCGUCACCUCAAAAAUGCCACGCUGCUGUUCUUCAAGCCAAGCCUCCACCCCUCCCACCACCUGGCUCCCAUCAUCCUCUGCUCGUCUUCGUGCUGCUGGGAUGAGCAAUUCUCCUGAUUGCCUGCUGCUGAGGUCCACUACUUUUAAAGGAGUCACCUCACGGUUUGUUUCCAGUUCUCCAAACAUAGCACAGUGUUUCCUGUUUUGUUUUCUUCCACAAGAGGCUGCCUAUGUCAUUGCUUCUGUCCACUUGGUUGGAAGGUCCUGGAAUCAGCUUCCUCCUGAAAGUAGACCCUGUACAUCCAAGAUUAGACCCUGCCCCGUGGUGAGCUUUCUGUAGGCAGGAGCUAUCAUCUAGCUCUCUCUGCCUCCAUCACCAAAUCAAGCACCUGGUUCAGUGCUGAAGCCCCAAGAUAUCUGUGCAAUAGAAUCUUUCAAGAAAGGGAGAUUUAUAACAUGGCCAAGCCAAUGUCUCAGAAAAGUCAAUUCAACCCCGAGCAAACCAAGAUAUAUCUAUGGUAGGAUGGCACACGGAAUUCCCAUCUAGCUUGAGGCAGCAGCUCCUGGGUUUUUGUGCUUUGCAUUCAGGAAUAAGGCACUGGAGUAGAGGGUGGCUCAGGGAGCAGAGGGAGCUGGAAGAGAAGUGCCAAAAGCAACGACACAAAUGACAUCGAGAGAUGCAAGUUCACAAAGAGAUAAGCCAGGAGAGAAGGGAUGGAGGGAGGCAGUGGCUGGAGAUGGGUGGCAGGGUGAGGUCCAGGCUGUGCUGUGCUGCACCCCCGGCUCGGCGCCCACCCCAGGGAGGCAUUGGUGCUUCUAAGCUUGGUGUAUGGUCCAAGGAGAUGGAUGAUGCUGAUUGUUUUUGGCCUACCUCUUCUCUUAGCAGGGCAUACACCCACCUGACAAUUACUUAGUCCGAGUUCAAAUUCUUCAUCUCAGACUAAAGAAUAUGACAGCAUCCUCUUACCCUUAACUAGUACAACUAUCAAGAGUCUUCUGGGGCCUCCUUGGGGUAAACUUGGAAACUGCUCAGGCAGGUGGCCACCAAUCCUUGGGAGUAUAGUUUUUAUUGACAACACAUUCUUUUCUUGGUGACAAAUCUUGCUUCUAAGAAGUUGUCCUUCAGAAGCUGUAAUUUUCAGAACAUGAGGUGGUAACUCAGUAUAAGAAGCCUGUGGGUUCUACAAAAGAAAGUGGGGAACGGGACCUAUCUUGAUGGACAGGGAGCAGAGCUGGUGGACUUGUCACUAUCAAUCCAGGUGAUGCUGGAAUUAAACCAACUCCUGUGCAGUCUGAGCCAACAGCCCCCAUAUUUAUUUGUAGAGCAGUUUGGUGAUAAGAAUUGAAGAAGUACUUAUGAUAUUUGAGUUUUCCCAAUAAGACUGGCCAUCCUCAUUUUGUAGGUGAGGAAAGAGACUUGGAGGAAGUGGGGAUCUGAGGUUGACACCAACCAUCCUCUGGCUCUCCCUCCUGUGCUGUUCCUACUGCUGUCAGAACACCUGCAUCUUGAAUCACAUGUUUCUCUCACUAGUUCUUUAAGCACCACCAAGGAGUUAAACAUUCUAAAACAUUUGCCAAAUCCUUGUCAGAGCAGGAGCUGGAAGCUGGUGCUUGCCUGGACAAUGGCAGAGUCUGCAAAUCCACUUUUCAAUACCUGUGGCUCCUGCGGGCUCCAGAUGGCAGAGGACUCUGAUUAGCUCCAUGAACACUAUCCCUGAGGAAACCAUGGGAGGCUGAAAGGGAUGCAGUGCUCGUGCAUCAACAUGGACUCGAAUGAAGCCUCUGCUGCUGCUUCCCAGUGUGGACACGUUCCCUGGCUGUUUGAAAUAUCCUCUUGGGCUUGUUAGUGGCUUUGAGCAGGACCAUGGGAGUUGGUCAGGGCAGGCCCAGGGUGGAGGGGAGUGGGGGCAACAGGGUGACCAUUUGGGAGUUCUGCCCAGGGGGGCACUUAUUUGUAGGACACUUCCAGACAGUUGAAUGGAUAUAAAGACUAAAAAAAAAACCCAACAAUUACCUUGCAUGGAUCAGAGAAGAAGAGUGCCCAAGAAGCACGUAUGUGUCAGUAGAUGUGAGUGGGGCCUCCCUGCUUGGGGACUGCCGGAGAGGUGGGGACAGCUGUUUGAAAUCACGGAAACAUUCUCUUCUGCCUUCCCUCCCAGUCUGUGGACCUCUCUCACCCGUCGGCGGAUGUGCAGAUGAGAAUCUGGGUACCUGGAUUCUGGUCUGCUGCCUCCUGCUGCACGCGUAGGAAGGUGCUGGGAACCCCAGUAUGUGGCAAUAACUGUUUCUGAGUCAACGCUAGACGAAUUGAUUGUGUAGUCUGGGUUCUUCUGAUUGUGAGAUCCCAGUGUCACUUCAGACAUGUGCCUGGAAAAAUUUCCCACGCUGCCUUCCCUGUGCACAGCAAACAUCACCAAUGUGUCUUGGUGCCUUGUCGCAGAUCUCUUCCCAACACAACGCUCCCUGCAGCUGCAUCCGAUGCAGGGAGUUGGCUCAUGAGGAUGAGCCUGUGGGCCUGCAGGCUACAGCGUCAUGUGGAUUUGGAACCAACCAGUGUGCUGGGUCAAAUGUGCUAGCUGACAACCAUACCUCAGGGGGCUUUGCUGAGAUGCAACCUCCAGACUAAGCCGUAGGCACUGUGGAAAUCUCCUUCCUCCCGGUGGGGCCAACAGAAGGUUGGUUCCGAGGUUCCAGUCUUAUCAAACCCCCUGUGACUGGUUUCCUCCCGAAUUCUCUCCUCAUCCGGGUCAGAUGUCUGCGGUGCCCGUGGCCUUCUCUUCCUUAACACAGUGGGCUCUGCUCAGCCAGCA